rnacentral:rRNA from 1 species
AUGACCUCGGAUCAGGUAGGGAUACCCGCUGAACUUAAGCAUAUCAAUAAGCGGAGGAAAAGAAACCAACAGGGAUUACCUCAGUACGGGCGAAUGAAAGGGGGGA